rfam:Ovis aries breed Texel chromosome 7, whole genome shotgun sequence.
UCCCUGGUGGCUUAGACGGUAAAGCGUCUGUCUACAAUGCAGGAAACCCAGGUUCGAUCCCAGGGUUGGGAA